rnacentral:rRNA from 1 species
UUUCCAGACUCCUACGGGAGGCAGCAGUGGGGAAUAUUGGGCAAUGGGCGCAAGCCUGACCCAGCAAUGCCGCGUGAAGGAAGAAGGCUUUCGGGUUGUAAACUUCUUUGACAGGGAAGAGCAGAAGACGGUACCUCUUGAAUAAGCCACGGCUAACUACGUGCCAGCAGCCGCGGUGAUACGUAGGUGGCAAGCGUUGUCCGGAUUUACUGGGUGUGAAGGGAGCGCAGACGGCAGUGCAAGUCUGGAGUGAAAGCCCGGGGCCCAACCCCGGAACUGCUCUGGAAACUGUGCGGCUAGAGUACUGGAGGGGCAGGCGGAAUUCCUAGUGUAGCGGUGAAAUGCGUAGAUAUUAGGAGGAACACCAGUGGCGAAGGCGGCCUGCUGGACAGUAACUGACGUUGAGGCUCGAAAGCGUGGGGAGCAAACAGGAUUAGAUACCCCUGUA